rnacentral:rRNA from 1 species
UAAGGAAUAUUGCUCAAUGGGAGAAAUCCUGAAGCAGCAACGCCGCGUGGAGGAUGAAGGGUCUAUGACUUGUAAACUCCUGUAAAGAAGGAAAAAAUUCCCAUUAGAUGGGAGAUGAUGGUACUUCUGGAGUAAGCCCCGGCUAACUACGUGCCAGCAGCCGCGGUAAUACGUAGGGGGCAAGCGUUGUCCGGAUUUACUGGGUGUAAAGGGUGCUCAAGCGGAUUUGUAAGUCAGAGGUGAAAUCUUACAGCUUAACUGUGAAACUGCCUUUGAUACUGCAAGCCUAGAGUAUGGAAGAGAGUGAUGGAAUAUCUGGUGUAGCAGUGAAAUGCGUAGAUAUCAGAUAGAACACCAAUGGCGAAGGCAGUCACUUGGUCCAUUACUGACGCUAAAGCACGAAAGCGUGGGUAGCAAACA